rnacentral:rRNA from 1 species
AGAGUUUGAUCAUGGCUCAGGACGAACGCUGGCGGCGUGCUUAACACAUGCAAGUCGAACGGAAAGGCCCUUCGGGGUACUCGAGUGGCGAACGGGUGAGUAACACGUGGGUGAUCUGCCCUGCACUCUGGGAUAAGCCUGGGAAACUGGGUCUAAUACCGGAUAGGACCGCAUGCUUCAUGGUGUGUGGUGCAAAGCUUUUGCGGUGUGGGAUGAGCCCGCGGCCUAUCAGCUUGUUGGUGGGGUAAUGGCCUACCAAGGCGACGACGGGUAGCCGGCCUGAGAGGGUGACCGGCCACACUGGGACUGAGAUACGGCCCAGACUCCUACGGGAGGCAGCAGUGGGGAAUAUUGCACAAUGGGCGCAAGCCUGAUGCAGCGACGCCGCGUGAGGGAUGACGGCCUUCGGGUUGUAAACCUCUUUCAGUAGGGACGAAGCGAAAGUGACGGUACCUACAGAAGAAGGACCGGCCAACUACGUGCCAGCAGCCGCGGUAAUACGUAGGGUCCGAGCGUUGUCCGGAAUUACUGGGCGUAAAGAGCUCGUAGGUGGUUUGUCGCGUUGUUCGUGAAAACUCACAGCUUAACUGUGGGCGUGCGGGCGAUACGGGCAGACUAGAGUACUGCAGGGGAGACUGGAAUUCCUGGUGUAGCGGUGGAAUGCGCAGAUAUCAGGAGGAACACCGGUGGCGAAGGCGGGUCUCUGGGCAGUAACUGACGCUGAGGAGCGAAAGCGUGGGGAGCGAACAGGAUUAGAUACCCUGGUAGUCCAA